UACGGAGGGAGCUAGCGUUGUUCGGAAUUACUGGGCGUAAAGCGCACGUAGGCGGUUCGUUAAGUCGGGGGUGAAAUCCUGGAGCUCAACUCCAGAACUGCCUUCGAUACUGGCGAUCUUGAGUCCGGAAGAGGUGAGUGGAACUCCUAGUGUAGAGGUGGAAUUCGUAGAUAUUAGGAAGAACACCAGUGGCGAAGGCGGCUCACUGGUCCGGUACUGACGCUGAGGUGCGAAAGCGUGGGGAGCAAACAGG
rnacentral:rRNA from 1 species